rnacentral:misc_RNA from 1 species
CUGCUGCAGUGUUUGCCUGGUACAUUGUUAGUUAUCAUCAAGCGCGGAAACAACAUGAAGCAGUCAGUGGGAAACCCAAGUGUAUAUUGCAAACUAACACUCGGCCAUACUCCGCCAAGACAAACAAAGAUUGUAUCAACUGGCCCAAAUCCGGAGUGGGAUGAGAGUUUUUUGUGGUCCUUUGAGAGUCCUCCAAAAGGCCAGAAGCUUCAUAUUUCAUGCAAAAAUAAGAGCAAAAUGGGGAAGAGUUCUUUUGGAAAAGU